rnacentral:piRNA from 1 species
AUAGGAUGAAACUGGCCAAAGCUCUGUC